AUUGAACGCUGGCGGCAAGCCUAACACAUGCAAGUCGAACGGAGUGGCGGACGGGUGAGUAAUGUCUGGGAAACUGCCUGAUGGAGGGGGAUAACUACUGGAAACGGUAGCUAAUACCGCAUACUAUCAGAUGAGCCGAGGUCGGAUUAGCUAGUUGGUGGGGUAAAGGCCUACCAAGGCGACGAUCCGUAACUGGUCUGAGAGGAUGAUCAGUCACACGGGAACAGAGACACGGUCCAGACUCCUACGGGAGGCAGCAGUGGGGAAUUGUGGACAAUGGGCGCAAGCCUGAUCAAGCCAUGCCGCGUGUGUGAAGAAGGGAUUCGGAUUGUAAAGCCCUUUAAGUGGGGAAGCGGUACCCAAAGAAUAGGCACCGGCUAACUUCGUGCCAGCCGCCGCGGUAAUAC
rnacentral:rRNA from 1 species